GAUGAACGCUGGCGGCGUGCCUAACACAUGCAAGUCGAACGAAAAGAGGAGGAGCUUUUCCUCUUGACGUUAGCGGGGGGCGGGUGUGUGACACGUGGAUAACACACCUAUUUUUCGGGGGGAAUAUCGUGAGACCGGAUACAAUACUGGACAAUAUGUUCAACCGCUGGAUUCAGUAGUGAUUGACGGUUUUCGCGAUUCAUAUAGCUGGAUCCGAGCCGGAUUAGCUAGUUGGUAAGGUAACGGCCUACCAAGGCAACGAUGCGUAGCCGACCGGAGAGGUGGAUCGGCCACACUGGAACGGAGACACGGUCCAGACUCCUACGGGAGGCAGCAGUAGGGAAUCUUCGGCCUUGGGCGCCAGCCUGCCGCCGCACCGCCGCGUGGGUGAUGAAGGUCUUCGGUUCGUAAAGCCCUUUUAUUGGGGAAGAACAACUGUGUGCGUAAAUAUGGACGUCUUGACGGUACCCGCUCAGAAAGCCACGGCUCCCUACGUG
rnacentral:rRNA from 1 species